CAGUAAAACAAAUGUUCCUCAAAAACUCUCCAUCAGCCUAGAUUUUCUCAAGCGUUCCUUCGUAAAACUCCAUAUAUCCCUAAAAGACGUCGUGCCCACCUGAUAAGAAUCAGAGCCAGUGAAUUGUUUCUACCACGGAUCGUACAAGAGCUUGAGAUAAUCUGAUUGGUGCCAAUGACACGGCAUCCCUUACAACAGUUACAAAUUAGUAAAAGUUCUUAAAUGCAUAAUUCAAAUUGUGGCGCCAAACAUGCACCUGUUAACACCACCUGAUUUUAUGUAAUUUUUAUUAUCUUUGAAAAUAAAUGUAACUUUGUUUUGUGAAA